CAGCUGUUGUCAACCAAACCUUUCCUUUCUAUAUAAAGGUGGCUUGGCCUCCUACAUAUUAGCCAAAGCAAGAAAACCAACAAAACCUAUAAACAGCUACUUGUCUUUGUGUGUUGAUUAAUUGUAGUUAACAUGGCACGUCAGGCAGAUCGUCUUGUUAAGAUUGGGCAGGAGGGUUUUGCAACCAUUGAUGAGCACUUCGGCCGGGCCAAGAGGCGGCCACCAGUUAUGAAGGUUCCCUAUGCUCAUCCCACAUAUUACGAUGUUCCUGCAACAGAAGUUAUCAACAGCAACGAGGCAGCUCAACGCUACAAGGGGAGGGUUUAUGUCGAUUACCCUAAGGGUAAACCAGUUCCGUUUUAAAGACCUAUUGAUUAAUCACUUAGCUUUCUUGUAUGCAUAACCUCCUCCAGUUGUGUUACCUUUAGUCCUGUACGAUAUUCUCCCUCUGCUAAACGUAGACGAGGAGAGGUUGCUAGAACUCGAGUCAGGAGCUUCUUCUUACUUCUUCAAAUAAACUUUCUGUGAUUUAUAUAUCAUUUUCUAUUUGUAUGUAUUGUCAUAAUUAUCUUUCUUACUUCCUCAUUAUCACCUCUUACUUAGCAUGGAAUUGAAAGAUACAAUAUGCUCUUGAAAUGCUUUGAAGCUCUUCAAGGUGUGAUUUCACCGACUAAGUUUGGAACUGUACAGAGCUCAAUGAUGAGCCGUGGGAGGCGUCUCUGAUUGUUGCACUGUAAGCAUGAGUGUACGUAUGAAUAUAACCAGCAGAUCCGCAAACCACAAGUGAUGACAAGCUUCUUAACACUGCUGCAUUUAACAGUUUUACCAACAAAAUGUUUUGUCGGUAUUUACUCUACCAUUCCGUCAGCAUGAAUUUUAUCGACUGAUUUACGGACGGAAACAGUCCAUUGGUAAAUUCCUCUUGUCAGUAAUUUCAUUAAUGUCGGUACAAAAAAACCCGAUGGUUUUACAAAUAGAAAAUGCAAGCCAAUUUUUUUUCCACUGGAAUAUACAGACGGAAUUAUUUCUUCGGUGAUUGACAGUGGCAUAUGGAGUAAUUUUAUUCCAAACCCUCUAUAAAAUACCGAAGGAAUUAUUCCAUCGGUGAUGUAACAGUUGAAAUGGCAUAUGCAGUAAUUAUUUUUCAACUCUCUGGAAUAUAACGACCAACAAAGUUUGUCGGUAACUUCGUCCGUAAUAAUUAAAAAAUAUAUAUAUUUUUAAAAAUUAUUUAUUGAACAAAAAAAGAAAAUAAUAAAAAAUAUAAAAUUGUAUAAAAUUCAAGUAUGUAAAAAUAAAUUACCUUAGUAUAAAAGCCAAAUAUUCAUUACAAAUUUAUAUGUUCAAAUAAAAUUAAACUAGAAAAAUGGCGGCGUUGGAGGAGGCUGAUCGUUCCCGGGACCAUAUGGCCAAAAAGAGUGUCGCACGUGACCCGCGCGGCGUCCGAUGGUGAUUUUUUCGUUAUGCGUUUGCUUGAUUGGUUCGUUGGGAGUCGCCACCUAGUAUUUAAUUGAGGGCAACUAGGAAACCCGGGUGUACUGGUCUUGUCAGAGAUUCACGGGUAAGGGACUGGUUGUGGUUAGGGAAGGUAUUUGCACCCCUAACGCACCCUACCUGAGGUAAGCUGCUUCGUGGCUUUGAUGUGAUAAAGAAGUUUUAAAAAUUUUGUUCUUUCAUCGGGUAUUAGAAAUACGACUUACAUGUAAGUUCAUAAUUCUUGACCGUGAUCAAAUCAAAAUAUUAAAUUCUUCUUUAUUCUUUGCAAUUUUAUCAUAAAAAAAUACAUUUAUAAAAAAAAAACUACAAACAAACACAUUCACUUUCACUAUAUUUUUUCUUUUUUUUCUUUUUCACAUCUAUAUUACAAAAAUUCAAAACUAAACAAAAAUUACAUUAAAUAAUUUGAAAUUACAAAAAUAGCCCAAAAACAAGUCCAUAACAGUGCUAGGAAGCUUUCUGGAACUGCAUGCAGUGCUGAAGAAGGUUCCUGAACAGUUGAACAGUGCGCAACCGCCACUAGCGUCGCGUGGGCUCACGCGCCGCCGCGAGAAAUUCCAGGCAGUAGGGGGCGCUGCUGUGGCUUCCUCCCCUCUUCACUUCCCUACCGGCGGUUAGGGUCUUCAUCAACUGCAAAAGAAUAAAACACCCAAACCAGUUGAUUUUAAUUUUUCUUUCUUUUUCAGAUUUAUUUCGGUCUUCUCCUUUUCAUAUCUGCUUCACCGCAGAUCUUUCUUUGGUUUACAUCUUCUUCUCCUUCGCUUCAGGUGGCCGGCAGUUGGGUGGCGACGACACUGGAUUCAGGUUGUUGCUUUGGCCGCUGCAAUUGGUGGCUGAAGGAAAUGGCGUGGAUCUGUGGGCUGCCGUGUGCUGGCUGUUGUGGCUGACGGUGUGGAUAAAACGUGGAUUUGUGGUCUCUGUCUUUAGCUCGGUCAACUUGAGAUCCCAAUCUGGCCAUUCCCCUUAACUAGACCAAAAUGUCACCUUCAACUUGGUUAACCUGAAAUCUCAAUCAAAAGACCCCUUUUAACCACAACCUUAGUCUUUUUCUUUAGCUCAACCAACCUAAAAUCCCAAUGUGGCGAUUCCCUUUAACUAGAAUCAAAAUAUCAUCUUCAACUUGGUUAACCUGGAAUCUUAAUUAAUCUAGAAACCCCCUAGGCUUCCUAGGCUUAGACUUGUGUGGACUUAGUGCACUAGAUUCUUUUUUGUUUAAGUUUUGUUGGUUGAAAAAAUACUUCCUAAAAUUAUUAUUAUUGUUAUUGUUUUUGUUAUUAUUAUUAUUAUUAUUAUUCAUACACAGUUAUAUUUAUGAUUAUUAUAUGGUCAAUUUGUCUAUGUCAAAGAAUAGAAUCUGAGGCAACUUUUUGACCAAAAUUCCACUCUCUAUUAAACCAAAAUGUUUAAUGCAAGCAACUUGGUUACUCGGAUUUGAGAUGUAAAUAGAUUUUUUGUUGGGAUGAGGUGGUCAGGUUGCGUCACAUUGAUUAUGUCAUGAAGUUAACUAGAGUAAGAAAUAAAGAUAUAAAGUUUCGGAGAGAAUCAAGAUCAGUUAAAGGAAAAAAAAAAGAUUAUGAAAAUAAAUUGGAAAGGAAAAGUUUAGUUAUAAGGAAUCAGAUUCACAAAGAAAUUUAAGUCUCAUCGAUUCUAGGAAACAAGUUGGAAGGAAUCAAUUUUACAAUAAUUGAACUUGGCACUAGAGAGAACCUCUGUGCCACUAAGUACUGAAUCGUUAUUGAAAUGUACUGAAGGCCAUUUGUUUGCCAUUUGUGCUCAUUAAGACCAUAAUUCUAUUCUUUUAUAGUUUUUUGGAAGAAAUAAAAAACUAGGGUGAGUUAAUAUUCUGUAAAAUAAGCUUGGAAUACCGUGCGGGGGCUUGGCUCAGAGAUCAUUGAGUUUUUCCUACAAAUUGCCUUUUAAUUUGUUUCACCUGUAAUUGGACUGGGAUUCGGUAAUUCUGUUAAGGACUUUCAUUUGGUUUAAGUUUCCCUUUUGUUUACAUAUGAGGUUCCGAGACAACAGUUGCUUGCUGUUCUUGAACAAACAUUGCUUGGAGGUUAUCCAAUGCCGAGAUCAAGGUCAGAUAAUACUAGCGUACGAUUGUGCUUAUUGCCAUUAAUUAGAAACUGCAAUAUCGUAACAUAAUUAAAAUGAGAUUAUUCUGAUUAGAGAGCAGAAGGAAUCUUCUUUCAUAAUUGGCUUUUGCGAAGAUUUAGUGUUUUUGCUGCUCCUACUUUUGGACCUGACUUGAUUCCUGACCGGUAGAAACAGCAUUAGUCCAAAAGAAGGGAAGCUUUUGUUUUCUUUAAUCACAUGAUCACAUGCCCAGCACAAAUUCAUAAAAGUGGCUCUAAUGAUUGGCUGACAACAGUUGUUCAUAAGCAAUGUUUGCGUUCCUUAUUUUUCAAUUUACAAAGUAUUUAGAACAUUCAAUACUUUUUUGUAUGCAUAACCUCCUCCAGUUGUGUUACCUUUAGUCCUGUACGAUAUUCUCCCUCUGCUAAACGUAGACGAGGAGAGGUUGCUAGAACUCGAGUCAGGAGCUUUUUCUUACUUCAAAUAAAAUUUCUGUGAUUUAUAUAUCAUAAUUUUCUAUUUGGCUGGUCAAGCAUGCAUUGUCAUAAAUAUCUCUCUGCUUCCCUGAUUAUCACUUUAUUCAC
rnacentral:lncRNA from 1 species